rnacentral:rRNA from 1 species
UACGUAGGGUGCAAGCGUUAAUCGGAAUUACUGGGCGUAAAGCGUGCGCAGGCGGUUCUAUAAGACAGAUGUGAAAUCCCCGGGCUCAACCUGGGAACUGCAUUUGUGACUGUAGAGCUGGAGUACGGCAGAGGGGGAUGGAAUUCCGCGUGUAGCAGUGAAAUGCGUAGAUAUGCGGAGGAACACCGAUGGCGAAGGCAAUCCCCCUGG